UAGUGUAUAUUUUUUUCUAAUAUUUUUUAAUGAUGUAAAUUACCUAGGCUGGCUCUCAGAUGGUGAUGUGUGUGCCUGUGGGAGACUGUGGAUGUGUCCAUAAUGGCAAAUACUUAAAGGUGACAUUUAAUGCUUCUCAUACAUUAAGUAUUAGGAGCUUCUCAUCUACUUUUCAGAGCUGCUUUUCCUCAGAUUUUUCAAAAAUCCUCUAUAGUUUGCAUUGCAAGAGUGCAAUCUUUUCUCCACUCUUUCCACAUAGGUUGUCAAAGUCUUAGUAACUGACACCUGUGACAGGAAGUGUGUGUGUCGUGCUGCUGGGCUGUGUGAACAAAAUAUGUUCCAGAGGAGAGAUCUGUGAAGUUCGGGAUGGCCAACGAGAUUGUUACACUGAUCAAGGCCACUGUGUAUUUGAUGCCAAUGACCAGUUGCGGUCCUUUGAUGGUGUAAAGGGGGCAGUGGAGCGGCCGGGAGCCUAUCAAAUGGCUUUCUUGUGCAAUCAAGAGUCUCCUGACUGGUUCCGUGUGGUGUUAAAUGUACAUGCAUGUGCCAGGAAUGAUUCUGGUCGUGUUACAAUGGUCCACAUCUUCUUCCAGGACAUGAUCAUUACGGUCAACAAUUACAGGCACUGCUGGGUCAGUGGAAAAAAAUUUUAUUCUAUAGUGGGGUUUUUUUCUGUACAUCCGCUACAGUCUUAAAAUGUUUUGACACAAAAAACAAAAAACAAAAAAAAAACUGUUGGGAACACAUUUCUCUCAUUCUCUCAACAGGUGAAUGGAAAGAAGGUCUCGUAUCCCUUUAUGCCUAAAGAGAGGGUGUUUGUCUCAUACAUAAGUGAGGCCUUGGUCAUUGAGAAGGUAUCUAUCAUGAGACUGACUGACUCUGGCACUGGAGAGGUCAUGUUAUCCAUAAGCACAGUCUUGACAGACCAACUUUGUGGUGCCUGUGGCAACUUUAAUGGUAUCACUGCAGAUGAUAUGACAACUUCUAAUGGGAGAAACUCCACUAUGAUGUCUCUAGUUGCAUCAUCCUGGCAGGCCGAAGACUUUUUUUACAUGUAUGUAACAACGGAGAAAAAAAAAAAAAAAACUGGCAGGAUGGUUUGAUUACCACAGAGAUUUCUGACUAAUAGAGGAAUUGUAAAUUUUAUUUAGUUGCACAUUGGGGUUAAGAAUGAGGCUUUGGUGUAAACUGGAUGAUUUCUAUCUAUUCUGUAUGCUAUGGUAUGAUCUUAAUACUGCACCUUUUGAGAUUUGAGAUGAUUUGAGAUUACACAUUAAAGAUACGCUUUUAGGUUUACCUCCAAAACUGUUUAGUACUUUUUCUAUUAUUCUAUAUUUUUGACUAAUUAGACAUGUACACAAAGCCUCAGUAGAUUUCCAGGUAUUUACUUGAACUUUCUUAUGUAAUAUCAAUGACUUGACCUAUUUCAGAGGUGGCCACAAUUAGAAUUUAGUUC
ensembl:lncRNA